rnacentral:rRNA from 1 species
UACGAAGGGUGCAAGCGUUAAUCGGAAUUACUGGGCGUAAAGGGUGCGUAGGCGGUUAGUUAAGUCUGUUGUGAAAUCCCCGGGCUCAACCUGGGAAUGGCAGUGGAUACUGGCUGGCUAGAGUGUGUCAGAGGAUGGUGGAAUUCCCGGUGUAGCGGUGAAAUGCGUAGAGAUCGGGAGGAACACCAGUGGCGAAGGCGGCGCUCUGGGACAAAACUGACGCUGAAGCGCGAAAGCGAGGGGAGCAAACAGG